rnacentral:rRNA from 1 species
UGGGGAAUUUUGCACAAUGGGGGAAACCCUGAUGCAGCGACGCCGCGUGAUUUAGAAGGCCUUCGGGUUGUAAAAAUCUUUUUUACGGGAUGAAAAUGACAGUACCGUAAGAAUAAGGUACGGCUAAAUACGUGCCAGCAGCCGCGGUAAUACGUAUGGACCGAGCGUUGUUCGGAAUCAUUGGGCGUAAAGGGUACGUAGGCGGCCUAGUAAGUUAGAAGUGAAAUAAUAUAGCUCAACUAUAUAAAGCUUUUAAAACUGCUAGGCUUGAGAGAUGGAAGGGAAGGUGGAAUUCCUAGUGUAGCGGUGAAAUGCGCAGAUAUUAGGAAGAAUACCGGUGGCGAAGGCGACUUUCUGGUCAUCAUCUGACGCUGAGGUACGAAAGCGUGGGUAGCAAACAGG